CCUACGGGUGGCAGCAGUGAGGAAUAUUGGUCAAUGGGAGGAAUCCUGAACCAGCCAUGCCGCGUGCAGGACGACGGCUCUACGAGUUGUAAACUGCUUUUGUACCGGGGUAAAAUGCCUUACGUGUAGGGUUUUGAAAGUACGGUACGAAUAAGGAUCGGCUAACUCCGUGCCAGCAGCCGCGGUAAUACGGAGGAUCCGAGCGUUAUCCGGAUUUAUUGGGUUUAAAGGGUGCGUAGGUUGUUUUAUAAGUUAGGAGUGAAAUACCGAUGCUCAACAUCGGGGCUGCCGCUAAUACUGUAGGACUAGAGAUCGGAUGCAGCAGGCGGAAUGUGUAGUGUAGCGGUGAAAUGCAUAGAUAUUACACAGAACACCGAUUGCGAAGGCAGCUUGCUAGGCCGGAUCUGACACUGAUGCACGAAAGCGUGGGGAUCGAACAGGAUUAGAUACCCCUGUAGUC
rnacentral:rRNA from 1 species